UGUAUAGUAAAACGAAGAAGGCCUCAAAAUGAAGCCUGCAAGGCAUGAGAGGAGAUGAAGAAGAUCCAUGGAGGGAUCAGUAUGUAAGGCGAAGAGAUAAUGCGUAGAAAGACUAAAAAAUCUCUGGAGUAGACGACCUCUUGACGGACGGAAAUACUAACGAUGGACUAAAUGUGGAACACAUUAAAUAAUAGUGAUCGUAAUUUGGUAAAAUUAAGUAAGGUGGACUAAAAUUGUGACCGCUGCAUAACCUAGAUCUGGUUCGGCAGCAGCGACAGUGAGUGUGGCGUUGAAACAGGUAUUUUUUUAUGCUUCCCACUUCCUCUUAUCCCUUUAGUUUUGCUUCUGUUCAUUUUAUCUGGGCUUAGUGUUUCUGCUGAGAGAUUGGACUUGGAGAAUGAGUUGAGAGAUUGUACUGUGAAUGAAUGUAAUGUAUCUUCAAUUUGCUGAUAGUGUAAUUAGCUUGAAGCUAUCAUUGGUUAGUGUUUUUGAACUUGAAAAUUUUUCAAGAAAUUAAAGAUCAUGCAGCAGUUCACGCUGGGCACUUUGCAUGCAGAAACUAGUCAGUCACUCAUCUCAAGAAGCAUGAGCUAAAGACAAGUUAUUGCCAGAGCUGGUUUAGAUUGGCCAGGCCAAUGAUGGGUAGAGGAUGUUGUUUGCAUAAUGAAUAAUAUAAUUCUGCAACUUUGGCUGAGUUAUUGUUCACUCUACAUGCUUCUCAAAUUCGUAUAGAUCUGCCUACUCUUACUGCUAAAGAUACACAUACAGGACUAUCCGACUGAUUGAGUUUAUUACCCUAAGUUCACAGGUGAAUGGGCAUGCUUUGAAGUCAUUUCCACAGAACGGAACGGGAUCCAAGGCCAAAAGGAAGCAACAAACGAAGAAGCAACCAUGCAGGAUCCAUCCACGAGGGCUUCACACGUGAAGGGAGCAUAGACCAAUUCCAGUACGCGUCCACGCCCCCAUCCACGCGUGGAUGCAGCAUGGAUCGGCCAUUAAGGGCAAUCUCGGGAUUUUGACUUUAUUUAUGAUGGCUAUUUAAACCCUUCCCCUGCAUUUUUAGAGGGGAGCCCUAAUUUUCUAGAUCUGAAAUCUCUUUGUUCUCUCCCCUUUGGGGGAAAACCCCCAUUAUCCCUUAACUUAGAUUGAUUCUCCAAUGGUAGAUCUAGCUAGAUGAUGAAAGCAAAGAUGUACUAGGAUUCUUAGCUUCGAAUGGU